rnacentral:tRNA from 1 species
UUCCCUGUGGCUCAGUUGGUAGAGCAUGGUGUGUGCAACGCCAGGGUUGUGGGUUUGAUUCCCACGGGGGACC